rnacentral:rRNA from 1 species
UACGUAGGGUCCGAGCGUUGUCCGGAAUUAUUGGGCGUAAAGGGCUUGUAGGUGGUUUGUCACGUCGGGCGUGAAAACUCAGGGCUCAACCCUGAGCGUGCGUCCGAUACGGGCAGACUAGAGGUAUGCAGGGGAGAACGGAAUUCCUGGUGUAGCGGUGGAAUGCGCAGAUAUCAGGAGGAACACCGGUGGCGAAGGCGGUUCUCUGGGUAUUACUUGACGCUGAGGAGCGAAAGCAUGGGGAGCGAAC